ACACAAGCGAUGAAGAGAAGAGUAGGCAGGCGGCAGCGUUCACAGAGAGCUCCAGAGUGGUGAAAGGGGGCAGCGAAGCGUCUGAUCUGAAAAAAGUCUCUGAGCUGCAUACGGAAUUGGGCACAGCACCAAGGAUGCUAUGCCGGGAUCUCCCGUUACAGAGAUAGGGUAUAAGCGUAAAGGCCGUACCCGAAGAGGCGGAAGAUUAGCAAUAGGUCCGCGAAUAGAGGUGGUACCACGAAGCUUAUUCAAGCUCUCGUCCUCAAG
rnacentral:ncRNA from 1 species